AGUGAACGCUGGCGGUAGGCCUAACACAUGCAAGUCGAACGGCAGCACAGUAAGAGCUUGCUCUUACGGGUGGCGAGUGGCGGACGGGUGAGGAAUACAUCGGAAUCUACUUUUUCGUGGGGGAUAACGUAGGGAAACUUACGCUAAUACCGCAUACGACCUACGGGUGAAAGCAGGGGAUCUUCGGACCUUGCGCGAUUGAAUGAGCCGAUGUCGGAUUGGCUAGUUGGCGGGGUAAAGGCCCACCAAGGCGACGAGCCGUAGCUGGUCUGAGAGGAUGAUCAGCCACACUGGAACUGAGACACGGUCCAGACUCCUACGGGAGGCAGCAGUGGGGAAUAUUGGACAAUGGGCGCAAGCCUGAUCCAGCCAUACCGCGUGGGUGAAGAAGGCCUUCGGGUUGUAAAGCCCUUUUGUUGGGAAAGAAAAGCAGCAGGUUAAUACCCCGCUGUUCUGACGGUACCCAAAGAAUAAGCACCGGCUAACUUCGUG
rnacentral:rRNA from 1 species